CCUUCCUACUAAUUUCUGUUCCUUCUCUUUUCUGCUCCUUCUCCUACUUUACCUUCCUGCUCCUUGCUAACCCUUCAUGUAGGCUGUCUCCCCCAUCCCUCACUUACCUGAUCUGUAGGCUGUCUCUGCAGUCUAGGAGUUGCUGGCUGCACUGUCUUUAGCUGCUCCCCCGUGGAUUCAGUCAGGAGAGAGAAGCAGGGAUAAGAUGUAGUUUCCUAUCCCUGUCUCUCUCAACACACAGCGCCACCUACUAACCGGCGCCAAUGUUGCAGUGUAUUCUCAAUCUGAAAAGAAAAAUACCGGCACAAGAUGAAAAAUCCAGGGAGGGGCAAGUGUCACCCAUGAGUACAAUGGAUGGUGUUACUGAUUCAUGUCCUAAUUUGCCAUCAUUAUCAUCAUCUAGAGGAGACCAUGAAAAAGAUGAGCUCUUCCUAACAAACACACAUACACAUAUAUAUGAAAAGAC